rnacentral:rRNA from 1 species
CUACGGGUUGCUGCAGUGGGGAAUAUUGCACAAUGGGCGCAAGCCUGAUGCAGCCAUGCCGCGUGUAUGAAGAAGGCCUUCGGGUUGUAAAGUACUUUCAGCGGGGAGGAAGGGAGUAAAGUUAAUACCUUUGCUCAUUGACGUUACCCGCAGAAGAAGCACCGGCUAACUCCGUGCCAGCAGCCGCGGUAAUACGGAGGGUGCAAGCGUUAAUCGGAAUUACUGGGCGUAACGCGCACGCAGGCGGUUUGUUAAGUCAGAUGUGAAAUCCCCGGGCUCAACCUGGGAACUGCAUCUGAUACUGGCAAGCUUGAGUCUCGUAGAGAGGGGUAGAAUUCCAGGUGUAGCGGUGAAAUGCGUAGAGAUCUGGAGGAAUACCGGUGGCGAAGGCGGCCCCCUGGACGAAGACUGACGCUCAGGUGCGAAAGCGUGGGGAGCAAACAGGAUUAGAUACCCUCGUAGUC